ensembl:lncRNA
GGUUUCCCAGAUUUAAGCACUGGGUAGCAGGAACAGGGUAGGAGAGCCCAUGGUAUACAGAGUACUGGGUAGCAGGAACAGGGUAGGAGAGCCCAUGGUAUACAGAGUACUGGGUAGCAGGAACAGGGUAGGAAAGCCCAUGGUAUACAGAGUACUGGGUAGCAGGAACAGGGUAGGAGAGCCCAUGGUAUACAGAGCACUGGGUAGCAGGAACAGGGUAGGAGAGCCCAUGGCAUACAGAGUACUGGGUAGCAGGAACAGGGUAGGAGAGCCCAUGGUAUACAGAGUACUGGGUAGCAGGAACAGGGUAGAAGAGCCCAUGGCAUACAGAGUACUGGGUAGCAGGAACAGGGUAGGAGUCCCAUGGUAUACAGAGUACUGGGUAGAAGGAACAGGGUAGGAGAGCCCAUGGUAUACAGAGUACUGGGUAGCUGUAGGAACAGGGUUGGAGAGCCCAUGGUAUACAGAGUACUGGGUAGGAGAGCCCAUGGCAUACAGAGUACUGGGUAGCAGGAACAGGGUAGGAGAGCCCAUGGUUUACAGAGUACUGGGUAGGAGAGCCCAUGGUAUACAGAGUACUGGGUAGCAGGAACAGGGUAGGAGAGCCCAUGGUAUACAGAGUACUGGGUAGCUGUAGGAACAGGGUUGGAGAGCCCAUGGUAUACAGAGCACUGGGUAGCAGGAACAGGGUAGGAGAGCCCAUGGUAUACAGAGUACUGGGUAGCUGUAGGAACAGGGUUGGAGAGCCCAUGGUAUACAGAGAACAGGGUAGGAGGGCCCAUGGCAUACAGAGUACUGGGUAGCUACAGGAACAGGGUAGGAGAGCCCAUGGCAUAAAGACUACUGGGUAGCUACAGGAACAGGGUAGGAGAGCCCAUGGCAUACAGAGUACUAGUUAGCAGGAACAGGGUAGGAGAGCCCAUGGCAUACAGAGUACUGGGUAGCUACAGGAACAGGGUAGGAGAGCCCAUGGCAUACAGAGUACUGGGUAGCUACAGGAACAGGGUAGGAGAGCCCAUGGUAUACAGAGUACUGGGUAGCUACAGGAACAGGGUAGAGGAGCCCAUGGUAUACAGAGUACUGGGUAGCUACAGGAACAGGGUAGAGGAGCCCAUGGUAUACAGAGUACUGGGUAGCUACAGGAACAGGGUAGAGGAGCCCAUGGUAUAC